rnacentral:rRNA from 1 species
GUGGGGAAUAUUGCACAAUGGGGGAAACCCUGAUGCAGCAACGCCGCGUGAGGGAAGAAGGUUUUCGGAUUGUAAACCUCUGUCCCUGGUGACGAAGACAGUGACGGUAACCAGGGAGGAAGCCACGGCUAACUACGUGCCAGCAGCCGCGGUAAUACGUAGGUGGCAAGCGUUGUCCGGAUUUACUGGGUAUAAAGGGAGCGCAGGCGGGGAAGCAAGUCAGCGGUGAAAUACAUGGGCUUAACCCAUGAACUGCCGUUGAAACUGUUUUUCUUGAGUGAAGUAGAGGCAGGCGGAAUUCCGAGUGUAGCGGUGAAAUGCGUAGAUAUUCGGAGGAACACCAGUGGCGAAGGCGGCCUGCUGGGCUUUUACUGACGCUGAGGCUCGAAAGCGUGGGGAGCAAACAGGAUUAGAAACCCUAGUAGUCC